rnacentral:rRNA from 1 species
CAGCAGCCGCGGGAACACGAAGGGGGCUAGCGUUGUUCGGAUUUACUGGGCGUAAAGCGCACGUAGGCGGACUUUUAAGUCAGGGGUGAAAUCCCGGGGCUCAACCCCGGAACUGCCUUUGAUACUGGGAGUCUUGAGUUCGAGAGAGGUGAGUGGAAUUGCGAGUGUAGAGGUGAAAUUCGUAGAUAUUCGCAGGAACACCAGUGGCGAAGGCGGCCAUCUGGGACAACACUGACGCUGAGGCACGAAAGCGUGGGGAGCAAACAGGAUUAGAUACCCCAGUAGUCCCUGUCUCUUAUAC